CCUACGGGCGGCAGCAGUGGGGAAUAUUGGACAAUGGGCGAAAGCCUGAUCCAGCCAUGCCGCGUGUGUGAAGAAGGCCUUCGGGUUGUAAAGCACUUUCAGUGGGGAAGAAAGCCUUGGGGCUAAUACCCUCGAGGAAGGACAUCACCCACAGAAGAAGCACCGGCUAACUCCGUGCCAGCAGCCGCGGUAAUACGGAGGGUGCGAGCGUGAAUCGGAAUUACUGGGCGUAAAGCGCGCGUAGGCGGUCUGAUAAGCCGGUUGUGAAAGCCCCGGGCUCAACCUGGGAACGGCAUCCGGAACUGUCAGGCUAGAGUGCAGGAGAGGAAGGUAGAAUUCCCGGUGUAGCGGUGAAAUGCGUAGAGAUCGGGAGGAAUACCAGUGGCGAAGGCGGCCUUCUGGACUGACACUGACGCUGAGGUGCGAAAGCGUGGGUAGCAAACAGGAUUAGAUACCCGUGUAGUC
rnacentral:rRNA from 1 species